rnacentral:lncRNA from 1 species
ACCCCAGUAACCAUGAUAAAUACCUCUAUCAAUGGCAUGGACUACUUUAAAUGAUGGAACACUCUAAGCUAAAGCAAUAAUCGACCAACUACUUGGGACUUCUUACGAAUUAUGAUCAGAGAAUCCACAAGUAAAAUAAGAAUCAUAAGUUGAACUAGAACUAAUAGAUCUGGCUGACCGAGAAUAACAACCAUCACUAAAAUAACUACAACAUGAACCCC